CGCCGUGACAGGGCCGAGCCGGGAGGGUUUGUCGCGGAGCGCGGCCGGGGGAUCGCCUCAGCUUCCCCCGCAGCCCGGCUCCGCCUGAGGGCAGCUUUCCCGCGCUGGAAGCCCCUCCCGCCUCACCGCGGCGCUCCCCCGCCGCGCCUCAGGCGGCCCCGAGCCCUCCCGCCGCUGUCUGCGCCCGUGGUGCCGUGGCGGUGUUGUGGCAGCUUUGCAGCGGUGUGGUGGCGGUGCCACGGCAGCGUUGUGGCGGUGUGGGAGCGGUGUGGGAGCGGUGCCGCAGGCGCAGGGCGCGCAGCUCCGCGCUUUGUUCGGCACGAGGCCGGUGGGCGCGGGGUCCCACACGCAGGCGGGCGGGCGGGCCGCAGCCGGGCCGGGAGCCCUCAGCGCUGCUCUCCGGGGACUCUCGCAGCCCCUCGGCCAUCUGCGGUCAGCGCGGACAUCUGGCAGGCAGCUGCAGGAGGUGAAGGCGGUGGGUGGGUCGGAUCGGGGCCGGCGGGUCGGAGUGCGCGCAUCUCGGCGACGUGAGUGACUCAGACGAGCAGGGUUCAAAAGCGGCAGCUGGACGGGGUACGGCGGGAGCCGUUGUGAAGCGCGGAGACGUUCGGUGGGGCCGCGCACGGCCGUCCCUCGGUUACACGUCUGCGGUCAGCCGUACGAAGGACGCCGUCUGCAGCCCGCGGGUUCAGCUGCCCGUCACAAAGCUCCGCUUCCCGCGCAGCGCGGCUCUGCAGGUGCCCUCUGACCUCGGCUGCACAAGGAACGCACGCCUUCCUCCCUGCUUUCUCCUGCGGACAAACGUGCAGUCUUUCUCUUGUUAGAUUUCCAGCGUCUCAGCUCGGAGACGGUUGCUAAAAUAUAACAAAAUACAAACGAUUCCAUAUGUAUAUGGAUUGGGCGGGCUAUAUUUUGGAAUAAGAUCGGCCUUCGAAGUCAGCCUGCCUGUCUGUAGAUGUUUAUCUCAGCCUGAGGUACAACCUGUGCAGAGCAGAAGAUCCCUUCUUACUGUAUGCAGUAAAUGGUGCCCUUCGCUGGGCAAAGUAUUCACUACAAUCUUCCCUGACGAAAAGACCCGUGUAGCUUCCUUAUAUGAGGAGUGUCUAUUUUAAGAAUGUGGAACCGUUCAAACUGAGAAAAGAAGCUGAACUAUAAAUCAGUCUUCACUCAUGACAGCAGUGUCUCUGGCAGGUUGGUUCUAACUGGCACAUCUCCUUACUGCUGUGCUAUUGGUGUGCGUUCUGUCCACAUCCACCGGAAAAUUUGGACAUUUACUGUUCCAAAGAUUUUGCAUUGUUUGUAUUUCAUACCCUGUUUUUCUAUUACUUGUUGUACGGAAAAGAUUUUCUUAAUACACUUUUAAACCACAUUUUUUUUUUUUUUCUGUAAAAUAACCUUAAUGGUAACACCUGAGAUACAGGAUUUCAAUUUUCACACUCAUUUCAUGUAAAUGUGCUCGGCUUUUUUCUUCCAGAGAGCCUCACAGCUUUGCCUUGGGCUCUCCAUUUCACAGAGCAGCAUUUACUCUGCUCGUGACAUCACAUGUGACAAACUCCUAAACUUGUAAAGGCUAUCUGGGAAGUAAAGUUCUUAUUAAGACAUUUUGAACAAAAAGGUUUGUGCAAGUAUAACUCAGAGCAGAAAUUGGCCUAAAAAAGUUUCACAUUUGAUGAAGCAUUAAGAACCAGAGGUGGAGUUGAGAGUGAUGUUGUGAGUUAGUAAAAAACAUAUUUUAAUAUAAGCUGUAUGAAAUCUGUUAUUUGCAUCCCCAAGAGAAUGAACUGGAACCCAAGAAUGACAGUGCUGAAUGAUUUCCAGUAACUCUCUGAAACGAUUUGAGCAGUAAUAGGAUAACAAUGCUGUCUGUGCAGGUCAAGAAGCAGGUGGCUUCUUGCUCCACCCAGAUACAGGAGAGGAUGGUACACCUCCUGCAGGAGAGGUGGUCCUUAUGAAUUAAAAAGUUUGGAACUUAGAAUGCCUAAAAGCAGACAAAUGGCAGGAGAAGGUUUAAGGGCUCUGUUUUCUGUGACUCGUUAUGACUGGGUAAGAGCUAGCACGUUUAUGAUCACGCCAAAACAAUACGUGUUCCAGUGUGUAACUUGACAUAGCUUUUACGGUCACAAGGAAGUUAAGUUUGAAGAGUUCUUAUUGGGGAUGCUGCCAAGUCGUGCAAUUCUAUGUAGACUGCUGCACGUGAAGGAACAGUAAUGAAUGAGUGAAUUUACUGGCCCACUAAGCUGUACAGAGCAGCAAAACUCGCUCCCUUUUUUGCUCUGCUGAAAAUAAUUAAGAGAAACAAGGUUUACAGUUUCAUAAAAACAACUGGACUUUCUUGCAGAAGAACAUACGAACUGCUACUUCCCUAACUAAUCAUCUUCUCUAAACGAGACAUGGUAUUUCUUGCUCGCCAUUUUGUCCUGUUGUUAAUAAGUGAUUAGUUUACACAGAUGGAUGGGUUUACUGUCCUAGCUAGAAAGUAAAGUAACAAUGACUCGCUAUAUAGAACUCUGCAGUAAUGAAGGAGUAUUACAAGUAACCUCAUGCAGAAAAAUUGACAAUAAGGAAUAAGUUAACAUAAAAAACUUGGCCCUCCAUCUGGAGUAUCAUUUCCUUUGGGUUGGCAGGUUUCCCCAUCUUGUGUUAUGAGAGAUAAAAUAUUUGUCUGACUGCUUCAGAAGUCGCACUGGUUUCUUCUGUCAACUGUGGGAACUCAUCCCAUAUUUAACUGAGUUAUUGGAUUAGUUCGGAGUUUCAAAAAUGAGCAAAAGCUCGUUAAAGGAAUAGGGGCAUGGCCUUCAACUCUGUCUCUGAUAGGGAGGAUAUAUUUUAGGUAGAGUAAGAAUGUAACCUAUAGUCUGGAUUAAUAUCCCUGACUGUUUUGUACUGCUGGAGAAUUCAGAAGAAACCAACAGUGCGUAAUAGCCUUUCUUGCUGUGCUUUCAUUAAGUCUGAGGCAGCCCAAUAAAGAAGCUACAGCAUGAUUUAUUUUAAUCAAUUAAUAUGGAGAAUUCAUUAAAAUAAACUUGGCAAAAUCUUACUUACAUACUUCUUGCAUUCCAAAUCCACAAAAUGUGAAGAUACAAUCUCAUUAUAACCAUCAGAACAAACCUCCUUUACUACAUUUCUUUCAUUUUUUGUCUUUACACUGUGCUGUUCCCGUACUUCUAUCUCCACUGACUUUCCAGUUCAGUGUAUUUUGUGUCUGUUUUCUUUAUAAUGUCACUAGGAUUAGUUAGGUUGCUCUUGCCAUCCCAUACAGCUCAGUAAGAGCACUUGGCAGGCUGAUGAGGGUUGGAGUAAGGAGGACAAUUGAGCCAUUUCUGUCACCUGAAGGCGACUUUCAGAAAUGCUUGCACAUGUGAUUAUCCUUCCAAUUAAAAUCUACAGGAAUAUGGAUCUUGAUCUAUGUGUUUUACGUACACUGAAAGUUCUACCAUCUCUGCCCUCUUAAUCCUAUUUGAUGUUUCCUAUUGCUGAGCUACAUGUGUAUCUGAGCACAAACACGAUCCUCUGUUUAAAUAACAACUGUUUAAAAAGAGGAGUACCGUGGGGCUUUUAAAUGAUUUAGAUAAGGGCAUAGGAACAAAGAAUGCUUCCAGCUCUGUUUUGUAACUUGCCAUCUCUAGGCAUUGUGACAAAACAAAUGCCAAUCACAUGCCAAAUAUUUUCAUCUACAGCAACUGCUGUUUCACAGCUGACAUGGCACUAACUGUACCUGUUCUUGGGACUGGCCAAAACCAAGCAAGAUGAAGAUUUCUCUUCGAUUCCUUCAUUUAUGCUUCAUUUCAUUAUGUUUUUGUUUGUUUGUU
ensembl:lncRNA